rnacentral:rRNA from 1 species
AACGAACGCUGGCGGCAUGCCUAACACAUGCAAGUCGAACGAGACCUUCGGGUCUAGUGGCGCACGGGUGCGUAACGCGUGGGGACCUGCCCUUAGGUUCGGCCUAACUCCCCGAAAGGGGUGCUAAUACCGGAUAAUGUCCUCGGACCAAAGAUUUAUCGCCUUUGGAUGGGCCCGCGUUGGAUUAGCUAGUUGGUAGGGUAAAUGCCUACCAAGGCGACGAUCCAUAGCUGGUCUGAGAGGAUGAUCAGCCACACUGGGACUGAGACACGGCCCAGACUCCUACGGGAGGCAGCAGUGGGGAAUAUUGGACAAUGGGCGAAAGCCUGAUCCAGCAAGGCCGCGUGAGUGAUGAAGGCCUUAGGGUUGUAAAGCUCUUUUACCCGGGAUGAUAAUGACAGUACCGGGAGAAUAAGCUCCGGCUAACUCCGUG